rnacentral:rRNA from 1 species
GUGGGGAAUUUUGGACAAUGGGCGCAAGCCUGAUCCAGCCAUGCCGCGUGCAGGAUGAAGGCCUUCGGGUUGUAAACUGCUUUUGUACGGAACGAAACGGUCCGGGUUAAUACCCUGGGCUAAUGACGGUACCGUAAGAAUAAGCACCGGCUAACUACGUGCCAGCAGCCGCGGUAAUACGUAGGGUGCAAGCGUUAAUCGGAAUUACUGGGCGUAAAGCGUGCGCAGGCGGUUUUGUAAGACAGGCGUGAAAUCCCCGGGCUCAACCUGGGAAUUGCGCUUGUGACUGCAAGGCUGGAGUGCGGCAGAGGGGGAUGGAAUUCCGCGUGUAGCAGUGAAAUGCGUAGAUAUGCGGAGGAACACCGAUGGCGAAGGCAAUCCCCUGGGCCUGCACUGACGCUCAUGCACGAAAGCGUGGGGAGCAAACAGGAUUAGAAACCCGGGUAGUCC